rnacentral:rRNA from 1 species
AUUGAACGCUGGCGGCAUGCCUUACACAUGCAAGUCGAACGGUAACGGGCCUUCGGGUGCCGACGAGUGGCGAACGGGUGAGUAAUGCAUCGGAACGUACCUUUCAGUGGGGGAUAACGUAGCGAAAGUUACGCUAAUACCGCAUAUUCUGUGAGCAGGAAAGCAGGGGAUCGCAAGACCUUGCGCUGAUUGAGCGGCCGAUGUCAGAUUAGCUAGUUGGUGAGGUAAAGGCUCACCAAGGCGACGAUCUGUAGCGGGUCUGAGAGGAUGAUCCGCCACACUGGAACUGAGACACGGUCCAGACUCCUACGGGAGGCAGCAGUGGGGAAUUUUGGACAAUGGGGGGCAACCCUGAUCCAGCCAUGCCGCGUGAGUGAAGAAGGCCUUCGGGUUGUAAAGCUCUUUCGGCCGGGAAGAAAUCGCAUGGGUUAAUACCCUGUGCGGAUGACGGUACCGGCAUAAGAAGCACCGGCUAACUACGUG